rnacentral:misc_RNA from 1 species
UGGUUCAAUAUGGCGGUGACGAAGUGAUCCUACGCCCGGCUGUCUCUAUGUUCUAUCCAAAUUUCUCCAGCAUGGCGACUCAAAAGCCUGUCGAGUGGGUCUCAUCGCUCAUCAUAAGAUUCGAGGAACAGUUGCCAUGUCGGACAGGCCCCCAGACCCAACACUCACGGUUCAAUGUGGAACAGAACAAAGAAUGUCUCAUACAGAUCAGCAGAUACAAGUUUUCCCUAGUCAUCUCUGGCCUCUACAAGAUCUUACAGAAAGUCAAUGAGAUGGUAGGUGUAUAUCGACCCCAUGGCCCAGACUUUGAGAAGAACUACUAUGAGUCACUACUGAUUGUUUUAGACACCCUGGAGAAGUGCCUGUCUUCCCAGCCAAAAGAUACAACUAGAGAUGAAGCAAUGAAUGUGAAACUCCUCCUAAGGGAAACUUGUCAGUUUAUUGAUCUACCAAAUAAUGAUCCUAUGGUAGUUCAGCUAAAGAAUUUGGCAUCUAAAGUGUUGUUUGCCCUAAGCCUCAACAACUUCAAUGCUGUUUUCAAUCGAAUAUCUGUCAGAUUACAAGAACUAAGUACAAGUAGUACAGAAGAAAAUCCGGAUUAUAGUGAUAUUGAGUUAAUACAGCACAUUAAUGUUGAUGUAAACAGACUCAUCAAGCUUCUAAAUGAAACCAUUCAGAAAUUUCGAAGUUUACGGAAGAAUGCUCAAAUAGUGCUUAUGAACUCAUUAGAAAAAGCAAUAUGGAAUUGGAUGGACACAUACCCCAAUGAGUUUGCUGAUCUGCAGAAACGACGGAAUGAAGAUUUAGCAAAGUGUUGUGAGAUUAUGUUUGAACAUCUGGACAGCUUUACAGAAAACAAUAAGAGAAGAGCUGCUGUUUGGCCCUUGCAAAUUAUGCUGUUAGUCCUCUCACCUAAAGUUUUAGAAGAAAUAGUCAAUGCAGAUGCUGGUGCUCCAUGUUCCCAGAGGCAUUUCAAGAAGAAGCAGUUCAUCGACCAGCUGAAAAAGGCUUUGGUGCCUCACAACAUUAGUAGACAUCUAACUGAAGCAGCAGCUGUCACCUGUGUAAAGCUGUGCAAGAUUGCAACUUAUAUUAAUAUCAACGAUUCAAACAAUGUUGUUUUUGUAUUAGUGCAAAGUGUGAUUAGUGAACUUAAGAAUUUGCUCUUCAACAUUGUGAAACCGUUCUCCCGUGGCCAAGCAUAUAUUUGCCAAGACGUAGAUUUAAUGAUCGACUGUUUUGUGUCCCUGUUCCGCAUCCUCCCACACAACAACGAGGCUCUCAAGGCCUGCCUUAAUCCAAAUUCCCAGUCGACUUACCACUUUGUGUUGGUCAGCUCUCUCUAUAGAAUAAUCACACAACCAAGACUACCUUGGUGGCCACAAAUUGACAUUGUGUAUAACAAGUCGAGUGAACUGAGGUCAAUGUUCACUGAUACUCUGAACAAGGUCACACAAGGUUGCAUCUCCCACACUCCUCUAAGGAUGAUUCAGUUGUGCCAGAGUCUAACACUGAAAGAGAAAGUGAUACCUCUGAAGUUUAAGGAAAAGUCCUCGGAUGAAGCUCCAUCCUACAAGAAUCUUCUGUUGUGGAUGGUUCGCCUGAUUCAUGCAGAUCCCAUGCUUAUGCUGAAUAAUCAGGGCAAAGCAGGUCAUGAGAUCCAGAGUUCCACACUUGAGCUCAUCAACGGCCUGGUGUCUUUGGUCCACAAUCCCUCAAUGCCUGACGUUGCUGCAGAAGCCAUGGAGGCACUGCUUGUGCUUCAUCAACCGGAGAAGAUUGAGAUGUGGAAUCCUGAAGCUCCCAUUAAUACAUUUUGGGAUGUCAGUUCACAGGUGCUGUUCUCCAUAUCCCAGAAGCUUAUACAGCAUCAGAUUGUCAACUACACAGAGAUUCUCAAAUGGUUGCGGGAUAUCUUGGUUUGUCGUAAUGCCUUCCUUCUUCGCCACAAGGAUUACGCCAAUUGUAAUAUUGGUGCUCAUAUAGCUAUUUGCAAACAAGCCCAUAUCAAACUAGAGGUUGUGUUCCUAAUGUACCUGUGGAGCAUAGACAUGGAUGCUGUGCUAGUUGCUAUGUCAUGCUUUAGUUUGCUGUGCGAAGAAGCAGAUAUUAGGUGUGUGUGGGAUGAAGUUACAGCAACAGUUACCUACCUAUUACCAAACUAUCAUGUCUACCAGGAGUUAGCUUCUGCCUCUACCGUCCUCACAACAGCCUCUUUGGAAUCCAGAAUUUUUUGCCAACAACACCACCAGGGCAGGGCUGCCCUUCAAAAACGAAUCAUGGGUUUGCUUCGGAAGAUUGAGAAGUGGACGCCAGGCUGUCUUCAGGCUUGGGAGGACACUUUUAUAAACUGGGAAAACUCCACAAAGAUGUUAGUGUCUUAUCCAAAAGCAAAACUAGAGGAGGGCCAAAUAUCAGACAGCUUCCACCGCACUGUGUAUAAGAGGAGAGCCUCACACCAGAGUACAGAGCAUGAGCUGGAGAUACAAGACCAAGUAAAUGAGUGGGCUAAUAUGACUGGGUUCCUCUGUGCUUUGGGUGGAGUGUGUUUGCUGGGGAAGUCCCCUUCACGGCAACAAGGUGUUAGCUCGAACCUCACAAGUGAUGUAAGAAAACCUGCAGUUUUACCCAAUACCAACCAGGAUAUGCUGUACUGUCCAGUCACACAAUUUGUUGGGCACCUCCUCAAACUCUUGGUCUGCAACAAUGAAAAGUUUGGAACACAGAUUCAGAAGCAUGUGAAAGAGUUGGUUGGGCAUGAAAUGUCACCUUUGCUGUAUCCGAUUCUGUUUGACCAAAUUAAGGUCAUUGUGGAUAAGUUCUUUGAUCAACAGGGCCAGGUUAUUGUAAGUGAACUAAACACUCAGUUCAUUGAACACAUAAUAUUCAUCAUGAAGAAUGUAUUGGAAAACAAGACUGAUCAUCCAUCCGAGCAUCUAGGGGUCACUUCCAUUGAACCCAUGAUGUUAGCGAUAGUGAGAUAUGUGCGGCAUCUAGACACCACAGUGCACACUUUGCACAUCAAGACCAAACUGUGUCAGUUGGUAGAGGUGAUGAUGCAGAGGAGAGACGACUUGGCCUUUAGACAAGAGAUGAAGUUCCGUAACAAGAUGGUUGAUUAUCUGACAGAUUGGGUCAUGGGGAAUUCUCACCAAAUUGCUCCUCCAGGAACCAUAGAUGUGACCACUGUUUCAAACAUGUACAUGCAGUACGAUAUCACGGGAUGUUGUCGAGACCUUGAUCAAGCAUGCAUGGAGGCUGUUGCUGCCCUCUUGCGUGGUCUGCCUCUCCAGCCAGAGGAGAGCGACCGUGGGGAUCUGAUGGAGGCAAAAUCUCAACUCUUUCUCAAAUAUUUUACUCUUUUCAUGAACCUCUUGAAUGACUGUAUGGAAGCUCAGGAAGUUGAGAAGGAUGUUGCACGGCAGCGGGUGCAGCCAGGUAAACUUUCAACACUGCGUAAUGCAACCAUCCAAGCCAUGUCAAAUCUACUGUCAGCUAAUAUUGACUCUGGGCUGAUGCAUUCCAUUGGACUAGGAUAUCACAAAGAUUUACAGACUCGAGCAGCAUUCAUUGAGGUGCUAACAAAGAUUCUUCAGCAAGGCACAGAAUUUGACACACUAGCAGAGACUGUGCUUGCCGAUCGGUAUGAACAGUUGGUGCAGUUAGUGACGAUGAUUGGAGACAAAGGAGAACUCCCGAUAGCUAUGGCUCUGGCAUCUGUUGUUGUUACGCCACAAAUGGAUGAACUGGCAAGAGUGUUUGUGACAUUAUUUGAUGCCAAGCACUUGCUAUCCCCAUUACUCUGGAAUAUGUUUUACAAGGAGGUUGAAGUGUCCGACUGUAUGCAGACUCUGUUUAGAGGCAACUCACUUGGAAGCAAGAUCAUGGCAUUUUGCUUCAAGAUCUAUGGAGCAUCUUACCUGCACAAUCUCCUAGAACCCUUGAUACGGCCACUAAUGGACGACGUCACCCAUUCCUACGAAGUUGAUACUGGAAGAUUAGAUCCAUCAGAGAAUGUAGAAGAAAAUAGGAGAAAUCUCAUAGCACUUACACAGAAAGUCUUUGGUGCUAUCAUUUGCUCUUCAGACAACUUUCCACCUCAGCUACGAAGCAUGUGUCACUGCCUUUACCAAGUCUUAAGUAAAAGAUUUCCUCAGUUCCCACAAAAUAACAUUGGUGCCGUGGGAACUGUCAUAUUCCUCCGAUUUAUAAAUCCUGCUAUUGUUUCCCCCUGUGAGACUGGCAUCCUGGACAGUCAACCUUGUGGACAAGUGAAGCGAGGGCUGAUGCUCAUGUCUAAGAUCCUGCAGAACAUUGCCAACCAUGUUGAGUUCAGCAAAGAGCAGCACAUGCUCCCCUUCAAUGACUUCCUGAGGCAGCAUUUUGAAGGGGCAAGACGGUUCUUCAUCCAGAUAGCCAGCGAUUGUGAGAGCGUGGAACAGACCAGCCAUAGCAUUUCAUUCAUCAGUGAUGCUAACGUGCAUGCUCUUCAUAGAUUACUCUGGAAUCAUCAGGAAAAGAUAGGGGAAUAUCUGUCAAGCAGUAGGGACCACAAAGCAGUUGGCAGAAGACCAUUUGACAAAAUGGCAACCUUGCUAGCAUACCUGGGACCACCUGAGCACAAACCCAUUGAUUCUCAAUGGAGUAGUAUGGACAUGACAAGCACAAAGUUUGAGGAGAUCAUGUCCAAGCACAACAUGCACGAGAAAGACGAGUUCAAGUCCAUCAAGACGCUAAACAUUUUUUAUCAGGCAGGAACAUCUAAAGCUGGGAAUCCAGUGUUUUACUACAUUGCCAGAAGAUACAAAAUUGGGGAAACAAAUGGCGACCUUCUCAUAUAUCAUGUGAUACUCACUCUCAAACCCAUUUGCCGAAAGCCUUUUGAACUUGUCGUGGAUUUUACUCACACUUGUGCGGAUAAUAGAUUCAGAACGGAAUUCCUGCAAAAGUGGUUUGUAGUGUUACCUGAGGUUGCAUAUGAGAAUAUCCAUGCGGCAUAUAUCUACAACGCCAAUUCCUGGGUGAGAGAAUACACAAAAUAUCAUGACAGAAUCUUAGCCCCCUUAAAGGGACACAAGAAACUAAUUUUCCUGGAUGCGCCAGCACGGUUGAAUGAUUAUAUAGAGCCUGACCAGCAGAAACUUCCAGGGGCAACCACUUCCCUAGAUGAGGAUCUCAAAGUCUUCAACAAUGCCCUCAAAUUGUCUCAUAAAGACACCAAAGUUGCUAUCAAAGUGGGUCCUUCGGCAAUCCAGGUAACCUCAGCAGAGAAAACCAAAGUGCUGUCCCAUUCUGUACUUCUCAAUGAUGUUUACUAUGCUUCGGAGAUUGAAGAGGUUUGUCUCGUGGAUGACAACCAGUUCACGCUGACCAUUGCAAAUGAAUCUGGACCCCUAUCAUUCAUUCAUAAUGACUGUGACAGCAUUGUCCAAGCUAUUAUUCAUAUCAGAGCAAGAUGGGAACUUUCUCAGCCAGACUCGGUAACAGUGCACCAGAAGAUUCGGCCAAAGGACGUUCCAGGCACCCUGCUCAAUAUGGCGCUACUAAACCUGGGUUCACUAGACCCAAACCUGAGAACAGCAGCUUACAAUCUCCUUUGUGCUCUCACUGCCACCUUUGACUUGAAAAUUGAAGGACAGCUAUUAGAAACUUCAGGGUUGUGCAUUCCAUCCAAUAACACCAUCUUCAUCAAGAGCGUCAGUGAGAAGUUGGCAGCUAAUGAGCCUCACCUGACGCUAGAGUUCCUGGAGGAGUGCAUACAGGGCUUCCGGGCUUCCAGCAUCGAGCUCAAGCAUUUGUGUCUUGAGUACAUGACGCCGUGGCUGCCCAACCUUACAAGGUUUUGCAAUCAUCCUGAUGACAAGAAGCGUGCUAAGGUUGCCAUGAUUCUAGAUAAGCUCAUUACUCUGACCAUUGAAGAGGUGGAGAUGUACCCAUCCAUACAGGCCAAGAUAUGGGGUAACAUAGGACAGGUGUCAGAGCUAAUAGAUAUGGUGCUCGAUUCCUUCAUUAAGCGAUCGGUGACUGGAGGACUAGGAUCGGGGCAAGCUGAGAUUAUGGCUGACACAGCUGUUGCUUUAGCCUCAGCUAACGUUGCUUUAGUGGCGAGAAAAGUCAUAGGACGGCUGUGUCGGGUGAUAGACAAGACAUGCACUUCCCCCACAUCUACGCUGGAGCAGCAUUUGAUGUGGGACGACAUAGCCAUCCUGGCACGCUAUUUGCUCAUGCUCUCAUUUAAUAACUGCCUGGAUGUAGCACGCCACUUACCGUACCUGUUUCACAUCAUAACUUUCCUGGUGUGCACUGGGCCACUCAGCAUGAGGGCCUCAACACAUGGCCUAGUUAUCAACAUAAUUCACUCACUGUGUACCUGUACUAAACCCUCAUUUUCUGAAGAAACCCAGAGAGUUCUUCGACUAUCAUUGGACGAAUUCUCCCUCCCCAAGUUUUACCUUCUGUUUGGAAUCAGUAAAGUGAAAUCUGCAGCAGUCACUGCAUUCAGAUCCUCUUACAGACACACAGGAGAGAGGGGACUAAGAUUUGGGCCAGAUCGUAGUCUUUCCUGUGGAAUGGGUGACCGAGAAAGACUUUCUCUCCAGUCGUUAGAAACAAUCACUGAUGCACUGCUUGAGAUAAUGGAAGCAUGCAUGCGAGAUAUCCCAGACUGUGAUUGGUUGCAAGCGUGGACUGGCCUUGCUAAGAAUUUUGCAUUCCAGUAUAAUCCAGCUCUCCAGCCAAGGGCCCUUAUUGUGUUUGGAUGUAUUAGUAAGAGUGUGGUUGAUCAGGACAUCAAACAACUACUGCGCAUAUUGGUAAAGGCAUUAGAGAGCUUCUCUGAUAUAACCCUUAUCGAUUCAAUCAUAAUGUGCCUCACGCGUCUUCAGCCAUUGCUAAGACAAGAGUCUGCCAUCCAUCAGGCCUUGUUUUGGGUGGCUGUAUCUGUGUUGCAGUUAGACGAAGUGUCCCUCUACGCUUCAGGGUUAGCUUUGCUGGAGCAGAACUUACACACGCUGGAUUCUCAGGGAAUCUUUGAUAACAAUACAUUGGAGCAUGUUAUGAUGUCAACAAGGGAAUCCCUAGAGUGGUUCUUCAAACAGCUUGACCACUCUGUUGGACUAAGCUUUAAAGCUAACUUCCACUUUGCAUUGGUGGGGCAUUUGUUAAAAGGUCUGCGUCACCCAGCACCAACCACUGUCUCAAGAACAUCACGUGUGCUCAUUACUCUCCUCUCAAUUGUAGCUAAACCACACAAAAGAGAUAAAUUUGAGGUGACACCAGAAAAUGUGGCAUAUCUGGCAGCUUUGGUUUCUGUAUCGGAGGAAGUCAGAUCUCGAUGUCAUCUAAAAUAUUCAGUCGCGCGCAGCUUGUCCAAAUCAGCUUCGACGGACACAUUUGCCGUCGAUCCCCAUCUCAAUUUGCCCCUGACAUCAAGCCAAGUUAGCGGCAUCAGCAAUCCACAAGGGGUGUCUCACCAGCACUCAGGAGGUGCCUCGUCUCCCAGUAAUCACAUAUCAUCUCCUGGAUUAUCAUUCCCAACCAUCGGCAGCUUCAGUAGCUUAGCCAGCUCUUCAGCAACAAGUACAACCACACUAAUGUCUGUUGGGAGUGUAAUAACCCCUGGGGCAGUGAGCAGUGGCAACAGUGGUGGCAGCAAUGGCAUGGGAAGUGCAGCUAAUGCCGCUGCUGCUUCAGUCACAGGAAGUAGUACCAGUGGCAUCGUUAGUGGCGGAGUUACCCCUCAGUCUGUCGGAACACCCGCGGAAAUGAGACCGCCACCUACCAUUACCAAGGACCCACCCCCACCGUCCAACUCCACAACGCCCGCCAACCGGAGGCAGAAACCCUGGGAUGCCAUGGAUCAGAUUCCGUUAUCACAGGAGUGGGUUAGAGGACAUGGAACAGAGAAAUAUAUUUAUGUACAGGGUGCGAUGGGUAUGCUAGGACCGCUGGGAAUGAUGCAGAAGCAGGGGAGUGCCCAACACCUGGUGAGCAGAGCCGAUCCCAAGACGUGGCACUCCCUUGACCUUGAUCCCCAUAACAUGAGACCACCACCUUUUAAAACCCAAAGGUCGUCCUCGAUGCCCACACCAAAGGGUGACAUGUCCCCUCCGGAUAAGGACCGCAGCACCAGGGUCUCCGUCAGCAACGAAAACAAUAUCCUCCUGGACCCCGAGGUGCUGACAGAGUUCUCGACCCAAGCCCUCGUCCUCACUGUCCUGGCCACGCUGGUGAAGUACACCACGGACGAGAAUGAGAUGAGAGUGCUGUACGAAUAUCUGGCUGAGGCUUCAGUCGUCUUCCCCAAGGUCUUCCCUGUCAUCCACUCCCUUCUGGAUGCCAAGAUCACCUCGGUGCUGUCCUUGUGUCAUGAUGGUGUGAUCCUGAGUGCUGUUCAGUCUAUAAUUCAGAAUAUGGUAGCUUGUGAAGACCAAGGACACCAACAGCUGCAUGCUCUUCAAAGCUGGGGAUUCGGAGGGCUGUGGAGAUUUGCAGGGCCAUUCACGAAGAGUAAUUGCACUGCAGAGAAUGCGGAAUUGUUUGUUAACUGCUUAGAAGCCAUGGUGGAGACUGCAUUACCAACGGAAGGAGACGAGGGCUCGGAAAUGGAGUUGGCUCAGUAUCCAUCCAUGCUCUCUGUGGCAUCAGUAAACCUUUCCUCCUCCAUGUCCUCCCUGACUCUAGCUUCACCUACAGAAAAGGUUGUAUCACCUCUCUACAAGAAUUUGGAGCCAUCGACAACAGCACAGCAAAGACCGUAGAUGCAGGCUUGAGGCUCUGAGUUUAGCUGUGAACCAGUGAUACUACAGCUAGAUUGACGGGACGGAAGGUGCAGGUGCGUCGCAGAAUCUUCCAUCGCAUCCUCCUGGUUCUCGUCCCAAGCCAGUUCUACCC